AACGUAGGUGGCGAGCGUUAUCCGGAUUUACUGGGCGUAAAGGGUGUGCAGGCGGGCUGUUAAGUGGUGUAUGAAAUCGCCGGGCUCAACCGGGCGAGGUUAUGCCAGACUGGCAGUCUAGAGAGCGAGAGAGGGACGUGGAAUUCCGGGUGUAGUGGUGAAAUGCGUAGAGAUCCGGAGGAACCCCAGAGGCGAAGGCGGCCCCCUGGCUCGUACCUGACGCUCAGCCACGAAAGCAUGGGGAGCGAACGGG
rnacentral:rRNA from 1 species